GAUGAAGAACGCAGCGAAAUGCGAUAAGUAAUGUGAGUUGCAGAAUUCAGUGAAUCAUCGAAUCUUUGAACGCACAUUGCGCCCGCCAGUAUUCUGGCGGGCAUGCCUGUUCGAGCGUCAUUUCAACCAUCAAGCCCCCGGGCUUGUGUUGGGGACCUGCGGCUGCCGCAGGCCCUGAAAACCAGUGGCGGGCUCGCUAGUCACUCCGAGCGUAGUAGUUACAUCUCGCUCAGGGCGUGCUGCGGGUUCCGGCCGUUAAAAGCCUUUUACCCCAAGGUUGACCUCGGAUCAGGUAGGAAGACCCGCUGAACUUAAGCAUAUCAAUAAGCGGAGGA
rnacentral:misc_RNA from 1 species